AGUGUGAUUGCUGGGUCGUAUGAUGAGAGUAUGAUUAGUUUUGUGAGAAACUGCCAAAUUGUCUUCCAAAGCAGUUGUAUCAUUUUGCAUUCCCACCAGCAAU
rnacentral:pre_miRNA from 1 species